AGCCAUGGGCAGGUUGAAGGUUGGGUAACACUAACUGGAGGACCGAACCGACUAAUGUUGAAAAAUUAGCGGAUGACUUGUGGCUGGGGGUGAAAGGCCAAUCAAACCGGGAGAUAGCUGGUUCUCCCCGAAAGCUAUUUAGGUAGCGCCUCGUGAAUUCAUCUCCGGGGGUAGAGCACUGUUUCGGCAAGGGGGUCAUCCCGACUUACCAACCCGAUGCAAACUGCGAAUACCGGAGAAUGUUAUCACGGGAGACACACGGCGGGUGCUAACGUCCGUCGUGAAGAGGGAAACAACCCAGACCGCCAGCUAAGGUCCCAAAGUCAUGGUUAAGUGGGAAACGAUGUGGGAAGGCCCAGACAGCCAGGAUGUUGGCUUAGAAGCAGCCAUCAUUUAAAGAAAGCGUAAUAGCUCACUGGUCGAGUCGGCCUGCGCGGAAGAUGUAACGGGGCUAAACCAUGCACCGAAGCUGCGGCAGCGACGCUUAUGCGUUGUUGGGUAGGGGAGCGUUCUGUAAGCCUGCGAAGGUGUGCUGUGAGGCAUGCUGGAGGUAUCAGAAGUGCGAAUGCUGACAUAAGUAACGAUAAAGCGGGUGAAAAGCCCGCUCGCC
rnacentral:rRNA from 1 species